GAUGAACGCUGGCGGCGUGCCUAAUACAUGCAAGUCGAGCGAACAGAUGAGGAGCUUGCUCCUCUGACGUUAGCGGCGGACGGGUGAGUAACACGUGGAUAACCUACCUAUAAUACUGGGAUAACUUCGGGAAACCGGAGCUAAUACCGGAUAAUAUAUUGAACCGCAUGGUUCAAUAGUGAAAGACGGUUUUGCUGUCACUUAUAGAUGGAUCCGCGCCGCAUUAGCUAGUUGGUAAGGUAACGGCUUACCAAGGCAACGAUGCGUAGCCGACCUGAGAGGGUGAUCAGCCACACUGGAACUGAGACACGGUCCAGACUCCUACGGGAGGCAGCAGUAGGGAAUCUUCCGCAAUGGGCGAAAGCCUGACGGAGCAACGCCGCGUGAGUGAUGAAGGUCUUCGGAUCGUAAAACUCUGUUAUUAGGGAAGAACAAAUGUGUAAGUAACUAUGCACGUCUUGACGGUACCUAAUCAGAAAGCCACGGCUAACUACGUG
rnacentral:rRNA from 1 species